GAGCCAGACUCCUACGGGAGGCAGCAGUGGGGAAUAUUGCACAGUGGGGGGAACCCUGAUGCAGCGACGCCGCGUGAGUGAAGAAGUAUUUCGGUAUGUAAAGCUCUAUCAGCAGGGAAGAAAAUGACGGUACCUGACUAAGAAGCCCCGGCUAACUACGUGCCAGCAGCCGCGGUAAUACGUAGGGGGCAAGCGUUAUCCGGAUUUACUGGGUGUGAAGGGAGCGUAGACGGCAGAGCAAGUCUGAAGUGAAAGCCCGCGGCCCAACUGCGGGACUGCUUUGGAAACUGCCCGGCUAGAGUGCUGGAGAGGUAAGCGGAAUUCCUAGUGUAGCGGUGAAAUGCUUAGAUAUUAGGAGGAACACCAGUGGCGAAGGCGGCUUUCUGGACUGUAACUGACACUGAGGUACGAAAGCGUGGGGAGCAAACAGGAUUAGAUACCCCGGUAUAC
rnacentral:rRNA from 1 species